rnacentral:rRNA from 1 species
UACCCGCAGCACAAGUGGUGGUCAUUAUUAUUGGGCCUAAAGCGUCCGUAGCUGGCCUGUUAGAUGCCUGGGUAAAUCGAUGCGCUCAACGCAUCGAACUCCGGGUAGACCGGCAGGCUUGGGACCGGGAGAGAUGUGAGCUACUCGAGGGGUAGGGGCAAAAUCCUGUAAUCCUUCGGGGAGGACCAGUGGCGAAGGCGUCACAUUAGAACGGCUCCGACAGUGAGGGACGAAGCCCUGGGGCGCAAACCGG